rnacentral:rRNA from 1 species
GUGUUGGGGACCGGCGACCUCGUGCGCCGCCCCCGAAAUGAAUUGGCGGUCUCGUCCGCGGCCUCCUCUGCGUAGUAGCACAACCUCGCAACAGGAGCGCGGCGCGGCCACUGCCGUAAAACGCCCAACUUUUUCUUAGAGUUGACCUCGAAUCAGGUAGGAAUACCCGCUGAACUUAAGCAUAUCAAUAAGCGGAGGAAAAGAAACCAACAGGGAUUGCCCCAGUAACGGCGAGUGAAGCGGCAACAGCUCAAAUUUGAAAUCUGGCCCCUAGGGCCCGAGUUGUAAUUUGCAGAGGAUGCUUUUGGCGAGGUGCCUUCCGAGUUCCCUGGAACGGGACGCCACAGAGGGUGAGAGCCCCGUCUGGUUGGAUACCGAGCCUCUGUAAAGCUCCUUCGACGAGUCGAGUAGUUUGGGAAUGCUGCUCUAAAUGGGAGGUAUAUGUCUUCUAAAGCUAAAUACCGGCCAGAGACCGAUAGCGCACAAGUAGAGUGAUCGAAAGAUGAAAAGCACUUUGAAAAGAGGGUUAAAUAGUACGUGAAAUUGUUGAAAGGGAAGCGCUUAUGACCAGACUUGGGCCCGGUGAAUCAUCCAGCGUUCUCGCUGGUGCACUUUGCCGGGCUCAGGCCAGCAUCAGUUUGCCCCGGGGGAUAAAGGCUUUGGGAAUGUGGCUCUUUCGGGAGUGUUAUAGCCCACUGCACAAUACCCUGAGGCGGACUGAGGUUCGCGCAUCUGCAAGGAUGCUGGCGUAAUGGUCAUCAGCGACCCGUCUUGAAACACGGACCAAGGAGUCGUCUUCGUAUGCGAGUGUUCGGGUGUAAAACCCCUACGCGUAAUGAAAGUGAACGCAGGUGAGAGCUUCGGCGCAUCAUCGACCGAUCCUGAUGUUCUCGGAUGGA